CAUUAGCUUCAAUGCCUAUCCUUCUGCAAGAAGAUUUAACAUCAUAUAUAAUAAUGGAAAGCCUAAGAUAAUGAUCAGAUGCAUUACCACAUCCUGAAAGCAAAAGGAGAAAAAAGAAAAAAAAGCAGGAACACCAAGUUCAUUGGCUUUACAAUUAAGCUUGUGAGGAUAUAGAUAUCAGGGAAAGAAAACUCAACAUAUGGACUAUGAAUAAUCGCACAAUGUUGCUAAUGUUCCUAAGAAUGUGUCCGCAUCCUCAGUACAUCUGUUAUCCAAAUCUCAUGGAAAUUUCUAAAAUAUAAUAAGGUCAUGGAUUCCUUUCAUCUUCUUUCCCAGAACUUAGUAGUUUCUCUUUUUAAAGAGAUUGUGAGCCCAAACACAAUAAAUUGCCAAGCUCUUGUUGAGAUUUUACAGCAUAAAGUGGACACUUCUAUUUCCAAAUUGCAUGGUCUUCUUUUCAUAACAAAGUACAAAGACCAGGAAGCAUGUCUAUGAUUGAGAAGCUAGAGGUUGCAAAAGAAUUUGUCUAAAGGCUGAAAGCGUUAAGGACCUCUUCUGCAUUUGCCAAUUCAUUCCACAUCCACCAUAUCUAUUCCUAGCUCAGUAGUGAAGAUGUUUCAGAAUCCUUUGGGGUUGUGGAUGGUACAAAUUAAAGUAUCAUUUGUUGAAGUGGGAUCAUAUGCUUCCUAAAUGCAAGGGAAGUUAUGAAUCAAAUUUCUGGCACCCUCAAUAGAAUUCUACUAGGUAUUUCUUUUAAGGUAAAUUAUGGUUUUCUAUUUAUUUUUGGCAUGACUUUUAGCAGAGAAUCCUCAAAAAUCAACUCAGUAUGUUUUUCUUGUCAUUUCAAUGGGAUGCAUUAGUGAGUUUAAUUUUUAUUUGAGUGGUAAUCAAGAUUCAAAACCUGGAAUUUAGGAGGGAUAACAAGACUGGGAUUAGAUGUUAUAUUAAACAUGGUGAAUGUUGUUGAUAGAUCCCCAGUAAAUAUGGGGGUAUGGGGUUGGGAGAUCAGAUAAGAUAGAUGAUGACCCCAGUUUAAGGUGGACAUAAAAUCUUCUGUAGUAGUGGUGACGUGUAAGGACACCUGUUCAAAAAGCUAUUUGCAAUAAAUAAGUCCCCUCUUAAUUAUCUCUUUUGUUGGGAAUUAUCAACCAAAAGAAACUUAACAACUGAAAAUUGGCUGAGAAAAUGAAACAAAAUGUGUGUGCAAAGGGGAGG
rnacentral:misc_RNA from 1 species